UCCGCUCUCCGAUCCUUCCGAUCUCUGCUCCCGUUAGCUUAACGGCCUUCCGGCCGCCUCCUAGACCCUCAAAACGGCAACUAUGAAGUUUUCUUGUUGCACAAGUCGAAGUGGAAUAUCAUAGAUUAUGAAACUGGUGGAAUGAUAUGGGGUAUUUAUAGUUGAUGGAGAUGGAAUUAUAUGGAAUAUUAGAGUUGGAUUGGAAUAAGGAAACUAAUGUGGCUUAGGGAUUAAGCAAAUAAAGAUAAGGAAAGUGGUGCUUGGGGAAUAAGUAACUUGGAGGGAAUUUUCGUCCAACUUUUAUGUUUCAUCUUCAAGGCCGAUUUUGGAUAAGAUAAGUGUCGAAUUAGCCAAAAGUCCCUCUCACAUAAGUCGUAGUAAAUUUCGUCUAGUUGUAAGAACAUUUUGAAUCUCGUCAAUUGGAUUUGUGAGUCAUCAGAUAUACCCGAAACACUGAAGAGGGGUCAAUCUGCCAGCAAUAUCCUUUUUGCAUCUUUUCAGCUCCAUUCUCUUUCUUUUGCAUUCCAUCUCCCAUUUUAAUUGUAAUUAAAUAUUUCAAAGCAUAUUAAGUAUAUUUUAGUUCUAAUUAAUAAUAAUAAAGGCUAAAAUAUUAAGAUAUGUUAUACAUAAAUAUAUAUAAAAAUACACAUAUCAGUGACUUACCUAUCCAAGGCAAUGACAAACUGAGUAAGACUCGGAGUCCGAGUAAAGAGGCUAAAAUAGUAGAGAUGAGUCAUAUAUCAUAUGCUUCCGCAGUUGGUUCGAUCAUGUAUGCUAUGACUUGUACUCGCCCUUAUGUGGCCUUUACUUUGAGCAUGGUCAGCAGAUAUCAAGGGAAUCCUGGUAAAACUUAUUGGACUGCAGUUAAGAACAUUCUUAAGUACCUAUGAAGGACUAAGGAUUGGAUCCUUACCUCAGUGGGAGUGAUAACUUGAGAGUGACAGGGUAUAGCGACACCAGCUUCCAAACCGACAAAGAUAAUUUUCGCUCUCAGUCGGGCUGGGUGUUUACCCUGAAUGGAGGAGCAGUGAAAUGGAAAAGUUCCAAUCAGGAAGUUGUAGCUGAUUCAACAUGCAAAUCAGAGUACAUAGCAGCAAGCAAAUCAUCGAGGGAAGCGAUAUGGUUGAAAAACUUCAUCGGAGACCUUGGAGUUAUUCCAUCCAUAAAGGAGCCUAUGGAGAUUUUCUGCGAUAAUGAAGGUGUGGUUGCCUUAACCAAGGAACCGAGAGAUCAUGGUAAAUCCAUGCAUAUCGACAGAAAAUACUGUUGGAUUAGUGUCUAAGCCCGUAACUAUAUUUGGUAUGUACUUGACCCGGUUGUGCAUGGUCCUUUUGAAUUGCCUUCAUCAAAGCAACUUAACAAGGUAAUUUAAGGAGAGAGAGAAUAUUGGUUUAUUAAUAUAUUAUAAGAAUAAUAUAUUAAAGGAGAAAUCAUAUUUAUUUAAUUAGUAUUGGUCAUAAAUCACUUAGGAAUUAAUUUUGUGACUAAAAAAGAUUAAUUAAAUAAAGGGGCAUAAACUGUCAAAUGUAUGAUAGUUGAGUUUUGGGCUGGGAAACCUAAUGGAAUAAAGGGGGAACGAAAUUAUGAUGGGGAUCCAUCAUAUUUUCGUCCAAGGCCUUAUUACAGAAGGUUCCUUGGGCUGCUUGGUGGCUAAGUUGUCCAUUAGGGUUUAGACUGAAACCCUAGCAGCCUACAGUAUAAAUAUGACCCUUAGGCAAUGAAAUUCGGCUACACUUGAUUCCAAGAGAACCCUAGGGCCAAUUUUAUCAUCUCUCACCCUCUUUCAUAUUGUCUUCUUGCUUGUGGGGUUUGUGAACCAUUAGAGGAGUUACAAUUGUGACUCUAAGCUCAAGAUCAAGAAGAUUCNUUCAAGCAAUUUGAAAGAGGUAAACACUUAGAUCUAUUCUUAUGAUGUUGAUUUCGAAUUAUAUGUGUUAGAUCUAGGGUUGCAAGUCUUGGAUUCAAAGCAUGUACAAUAGAAAAACCUAGAUCCAAGCAUUAGGGUUUGCAUGAGCACAUAGUAUUGUUCUUAUGCAUAAAACCCAUCAGUGGUAUCAGAGCCUUGAUUGGUUUUAGUUGUAUGUGAUGCUUUAACUUUUUAAUUACUGAAAAUCGUUUUUUUCUUGCCUCUGCCCGACUCAACUCGGCGAGUCAGUAUCUGGACUCGGCGAGUCUGUGCAUCAGGCAGAGGAUAUUUCGGGAUUUUAUUGCUGUUUUGUCAUGGGAUUAAUGCCUAAAUCGUUUUUUUGAAGAUAAAAUCUGAAUUUUAUUGUAUUUGAAUGAUUAUCCCUGCCAAAACAAUUGAUAAUUUCAAAUCUUUUGAAUAAUAGUUGUUUAUAUGAUAAAUAUGGAUUAUUUGAUUUAUUUGGUAAUUAUCUUGUGACUAAAAUUGGAUUAGGUCAAAUAUAGAUAGUUAUAAAAUUAAUUGUUUAUUUUGUAUUAUUUGUUAUUUGAUCCCUUGUGUUUUGAAAUGUUCAAAUACUUGUCCUCAAGUUUUGAAAUUUAAAUUUUAUGAUUAAAAGUUUAAUUUUGAAUAAUUUAAAUUUUAAACCCUUAGAAUUUUACAAGUUUAAAAUUCAACCCUAUACUAUUGUAUUAUUACAAGCUUAAUAUAUAUAUAUAUNNNNNNNNNNNNNNNNNNCAUUACAACCUUAAUAUAUAUAUAUAUAUAUAUAUAUAUAUAUAUAUAUGUAUAACUUAAAGUGCUAGUCUUACCGUUAGUAGGCCUCAUUCACGAAGUCGAUGUAUAAGGUGGGUAUAAGGUUGCUGCCUAUAAACUGGCGCUUAAUGGGUGUACACUCAUACCCACCACUUGCUUGACUGGUGGAGGGUCGUUAGCUGAACGGGUAGGAUAGGGAAAUCCUCUCCUCAUUAAAAGUAUCAUGAAAGAUACAAAGUAACUACAAUGUUUUACAAAUUCCCACUCUUAGUUACUUUAGGGUAAAAUGUGAAAAUGAUGCUAAUCCAUGGAAUUACACUUUGUACCCUUGUCAAACGUUGGUGGAGCGUGUGUGGUUAACCGACACACUCAUUUGGGGAUGACAUUGGUAGCAAAGGUUGACUCGAUGUUUGUCAUAGAUCAAUGGAGUGUGUGUGGUUUACCGACACAUUGAUUAGGUAAUAGAGACAUUGAGUGCACCAUGUUGAUUCCCAUGGUUAUUCACAACUUGUUUGCGAUCCUCGGUAUUCCAGUCACAAAUUUGAAGUGCAUAUCGAGAUUUAAACAUGUCAUUGAAAAUUUCAAUGAAUAUCAAAGAUCUAGGAGUUUUCAAAUACAUUUAAAAAUUAAAUCUCUUUUUCGUUUUUCAUGGUGAGAAUUAGUGAAUCGUCAUUCACUUACCUUGAAAUUAUUUACUUUUAGAGUACGACAUCCCUUUCUAAGUUGUAAAUAAUGUUGUUGGGUCCUAGCCCUAAUUUCUCAUUUGGGUGUUUAAUUAGGGACUCAUUUAUAAUCAAACUUUGUUCCUUUCUUUUUUCAGAUGUAUGCAAACAACAACAACAACACUUCUGGAUCAUUCUUGUUGAUGAAACUAUGUCUAAAGGUGACAUUUGAUGGGUCAAACUUCAACGAGUGGAUGAGGUACAUUCGCAUGAUAACACGCUACGAGGACAAAGAAUAUGUCCUCGAUGAAAAGCUUGAGAAAAUCAUCCCAGAAGUUGAUACUCCUGAAGAGUUGGCCGCCUUUGAGGCCCACGAGCGUGAUGCUACGAAAGUUCAUUGCAUCAUGCUGGCCACCAUGAACCUUGAACUCCAAAAGUCCCAUGAGGACAUGUAUCCGUAUGAAAUGCAUCAGGAUUUGCUGGACAGGUAUCACCAAAGCGCGAGGCAAGAGCGCUAUGAGAUCAUUACUAACAUGAUCACCGCUAAGAUGGGGAGUGGAGAAUCCCUAACCUCUCAUUUGCAGAAAAUGCAGAGGUAUGAUGAUCGUCUUCUCAAACUUAAUGUUAAGUUUGAUGAGGAUUUGGCUAUCGACAUAAUCCUCCACUCCUUGCCUUCAUGCUACAACCAAUUCAGAAUGACCUACCACAUGAAUAAGAAAGAGGUCUCCUUGAGCAAGCUCCAAGGACUGUUGAGGACUGCCGAGAGCAACCUCAAAGACAAAUCCGUUGCACAAUCCCCUGCUAUGGCUGCUCCCGUGUUGGCAAUUGGCCAAGGGAAGGGCAAGAAGAGGAAGGCUUCAUGUAAGAGCCAUCAUAAGGGUAAGCCCCAAGAUGGUUCCUCUUCUAGUGGAACCAAAGCUGGUUCGGUCAAACCCUCUUCCGAUCCCAAAGAAACAGAGUGCUAUUAAUGCCACCAGAAGGGCCACUGGAAACGAAGUUGCCCUAAGUAUCUGCAAGAUAUAAAGGAUGAGAAGCUUAAGCCCACCUUUGCAGGUAUGUAUUCUAUUAAAUCUAACAACUCAUCAUUUGCUACUUCAUGGGUUCUUGAUACAGGGUGUGGUUACCACAUUUGCUCUGAUUUGCAGGGUCUAAGAAGAAGUAGGGAAAUGGAACAUGGGAAGAUAAACUUGAUUAUGGGAAACAAAAGAUCGUCGCCUGUGACCAUAGUCNGCCUGUGACCAAAGUCGGUGUUUAUUCUUUAGUGUUAAGUAAUGGGUUAGGAAUAGAUUUAGAGAAUUGCUGUUAUUCGCCAGAUAUGGCAAGAAACAUUAUUUCAUUUCAUGGAUUGUUUAGACAAGGUUUCAGAUAUUCUUUUGAUAAUAGUAAUGGUUCUAUUAAUGUUUAUUUGAAUGGUGUCUUUUAUUUCAAUACAUUACCUUGUAAUGGGAUUUAUGAAUUUGUGAUGGUUGUUGAUAAUUUAGGAAAUGAUGUUUUGAAUAUUGAUUUGUCUACUAGCCUAGACAAAGCAUGCUUGUGGCAUUGUUGCCUUGUCCAUGUCAACAAGAAAUGCAUAGCCCAACUCUAAAAGGAUGGAGUGUUGGAGUCAUUCGACCUUGGGGACGAUGACAUGUGUGAAUCUUGUUUACUUGGGAAGAUGACCAAGUCACCCUUUACUGGCACUUGUGAAAAGGGUGAGGGUCUAUUAGAUCUCAUACACACCGAUGUGUGUGGGCCCUUUAGAUCAACCACAAGGGAUGCUUGCCGCUUCUACGUGAUUUUUACAAAUGAUUAUAGCAGAUAUGGAUAUAUCUACUUAAUCAAGCAAAAGUCGGAAACCUUUGAGAAGUUCAAAGAGCUUAAGAGUGAAGUGGAGAAUCAGCUGGGCAGGAAAAUCAAGAUGCUUCGGUCAGACCGAGGAUGAGAGUACCUAAGUCUUGAGUUUCACGACUAUCUAAAAGAAUGCGGAACUGUAUCGCAAUUGACGCCUCCGAGAACACCACAAUUGAAUGGUGUGGCUGAGAGAUGUAAUCGGAACUUGUUAGACAUGGCUCGUUCUAUGAUGAGUCGGACUUCACUACCAAUAGCUUUCUGGGGGUAUGCCUUAGAGACUGCCGCCCAUAUCCUUAUCUUAGUUCCCACCAAGAAGGUUACCAAGACUCUUCACGAGAUGUGGACAGGGAAAGCUCCCUUGUUGGCACAUAUUAAGGUUUGGGGUUGCGAGGCUUUCGUAAGACGAGAGACUCACGAUAAGCUCGAACCUCAUAGUGAGAAGUGUUAUUUCAUCGGCUAUUUAGAGAAUUCUUUUGGCUAUCUUUUCUAUAGACCGAGUGACAAUGUUGUCUUCGUUGCUAGAAGAGGAGUUUUCUGAGAAAGGGAGUUGAUAAGCCAAAUUGAUCUUGAAGAGAUUCAAGAGCAAAGCGAUGAAGGAACCUCUAACACUGGCACUCAACCCGAGGAGGAAACUCCUGUUGACCCCGUUGACGAGUCCUUACCUCUUAGACGUUCUAGUAGGGUUAGUGUUCAACCCCAAUUUUAUGGUUUUCAUAUUACUAGUGAAUGGGAUAGAUUUAUUAGUGAUGAAACACUAAUGAAUUUGGACGAACCUAGCAGCUACAAGGAAGCCAUGGCAGCCCAGAGUCUGCUAAAUGGAAAGAGGCGAUGGACAACGAGAUUCAGUCCAUGUACGACAACCAAGUUUGGAAUUUGGUUGAUAAUGUAUCGGAUCGUAAGACAGUCGGGGGCAAGUGGAUCUUCAAGAAGAAGACGAACAUGGAUGGGAAAGUGCAUACUUAUAAAGCACGAUUGGUUGCGAAGGGCUUUACCCAAACUCCCGGAGUUGACUAUAAUGAGACCUUCUCACCAGUUGCGAAGAUAAAGUCUAUUAGAGUAAUGCUCGCAAUAGCCGCGUUUCAUGAUUAUGAAAUAUGGCAGAUGGACGUGAAAACCGCUUUCCUUAAUGGAAAGUUGUCUAAGGAUGAUUACAUGAAUCAACCAGAGGGUUUUGUCAAUGCGAAGAAUCCAAAUAGAGUGUGCAAGCUUGAGAAAUCCAUUUUGGAUUGAAANGGGAUGGAAUCUUUGUUUUGACGAGAAAGUUAAAGAGUUUGGCUUUCUGCGAAGCGGAGAUGAAUCUUGUGUAUAUGUUAAAGCCAGUGGGAGUAUAGUGAGCUUCCUCGUAUUGUAUGCCGAUGACAUACUGCUCAUAGGAAACGACGUUCCAACCUUGCAAGAGGUCAAGUACUGACUUGGGAAUAGUUUCGCUAUGAAGGACCUCGGAGAGGCCGCUUAUAUUCUGGGAAUAAGGAUAGUGAGAAACAGGGAAACGAGACUGAUAGGACCCAGUCAGGAUAUAUACUUGGAUAAGGUACUAAAGUGUUUUAGUAUGGAAAAUUCCAAGAAAGGGGAGUUGCCCAUCCAAAGCAAUACCAAUCUGAGUAAGACUCAGAGCCCGAGUACAGUGGCAGAGAUAGCUGAUAUGAGCCGAGUACCUUACGCUUCCGCAGUAGGCUCUAUCAUGUACGCUAUGACUUGUACUCGCCUUGAUGUGGCCUUCGCUUUGAGCAUGGUCAGCAAAUAUCAAGGGAACCCUAGUAGAGCUCAUUGGAUUGCAGUUAAGAAUAUUCUUAAGUACCUACGAAGGACCAAAGAAUGGUUUCUAGUCCUCGGUGGGAAUGAUGACUUAAGGGUACGAGGGUAUAGUGACGCUAGUUUUCAGAUAGAUCGGGAUAAUUACCGAUCGUAGUCGGGCUGGGUCUUUACCCUAAAUGGAGGAGCAGUGACUUGGAAAAGCUCCAAGCAGGAGACCAUAACUGAUUCAACAUGCGAAUCAGAGUACAUUGCGGCAAGCGAAGCGUCAAAGGAGGCUAUAUGGUUGAAGAACUUCAUUGGAGACCUUGGAGUUAUGCCAUCCAUAAAGGAGCCAAUGGAAAUUUUCUGUGAUAAUGAAGGAGCGGUUGCCUUAACCAAGGAACCAAGAGAUCAUGGUAGAUCUCGACAUAUCGACAGAAAAUACCAUUUUAUCAGACAUCAGGUAGAAGAGGGACUCCUCGUUGUGAAGAGGGUAUCAUCAGAAGAAAACCCAGCAGAUCCCCUUACGAAGGGACUGAGUAGGGUCAAACACUUGCAGCACGCUAGGAGCAUUGGGCUGAAGGAUGAUAUAAGUUUGGAUUAGAUAAGAAACUUGUAAUAGAUAUUUUGUACUUAACAUUUAAUGAAUAAAUAAAGUUGUGUUAUUUAUGAGUAAAGAUACUAUCUUGUGUUGGUUAUUUAUCUAUUGUUUAAAUUUUGCAUGUUUUGACUUCCUGAAUGAUAGGAUUAUUCGAACGGUCCAUAGUCGUUCAUAUUUUGGAAGUAGAUGUGAAUGAAGACUUUCAUGAAUUGUUUGUAGUCUGUCUAAAAGGUUUUGGGCAUAGCAAAGGUUUGCUGCAAAGUUCAUGAGUACUUAUGAAUAUGAUUUGAGCAUUGGAAUAAACCCGCGUUUGCUGGUAUCACUUCGUGGUGAUCGCNGAUAAUAUCAUAUAGUCUUAAAACUUAGAGACAUGGUUGUUGUUUGCUUGUUGGUUAUGCAUUGAUGAUGUGCAAACACAUCAGUAACUUGAUGUUAUAAAAUGCAUUAUUGUGCAUGAUUCAAUUAGUGAAUAAUAGAUGCAUAUGAGUUGAAGUUAAUUUGUUCCUUUUAUUCUAUGAGAAUAAAAGUGAUAUCUUGGCCACUUGAUGAUUUGGUUUAACUUAUGUGCCGGGCCCGGUCAGAAUGAAGUUGAUGUGUUCAACUAAAUUCUAUGUCAAAAAAAUCAGAGAUCAAGGAACAAAUGCUGGACAAUAAGCAUUAUCAGCACGAUAUCUAUAACAGAGGAUUAUAUGAUCCCUUAUCUGAAGGACAAGUUGCUGAUUAGAGUUGACAGCGACGUAUAAAAGCUACGAUUUCUAAUCGGAUUCUGAAGUCAUAUGUGAGAUAUAGUUAAUAGACUUAUCCAAGUGGGAUACUGUUGGAUUAGUGUCUAAGCCCGUAACUAUAUAUGGUAUGUACUUGACCCGGUUGUGCAUGGUCCUUUUGGAUUGCCUUCACCAAAGCAACUUGACAAGGUAAUUUAAGGAGAGAGAGAGAGAGACAGAGAGAAUAUUAUGGUUUAUUAAUAUAUUAUAAGAAUAAUAUAUUAAAGGAGAAAUCAUAUUUAUAUAAUUAGUAUUGGUCAUAAAUUAAUUAGGAAUUAAUUUGGUGACUAAAAGAGAUUAAUUAAAUAAAGGGGCAUAAACUGUCAAAUGUAUGAUAGUUGAGUGUUGGGCUGGGAAACCUAAUGGACUAAAGGGGGAACAAAAUUAUGAUGGGGAUCCAUCAUAUUUUCGUCCAAGGCCUUAUUCCAGAAGGUUCCUUGGGGUGCUUGGUGGCUAAGUUGUCCAUUAGGGUUUAGACUGAACCCCUAGCAGCCUACAGUAUAAAUAUGACCCUUAGGCUAUGAAAUUCGGCUACACUUGAUUCCAAGAGAACCCUAGGGCCGAUUUUAGCAUCUCUUACCCUCUCUCAUAUUUCCUUCUUGCUUGUGGGGUUUGUGAACCAUUAGAGGAGUUUCAAUUGUGACUCUAAGCUCAAGAUCAAGAAGAUUCCAAGGAUUUCAACCAAUUUAAAAGAGGUAAACACUUAGAUAUGUUCUUAUGAUGUUAAUUUCGAAUUACAUAUAUUAGAUCUAGGGUUUCAAGUCUUGGAUUCAAAGCAUGUACAAUAGAGAAACCUAGAUCCAAGCAUUAGGGUUUGUAUGAGCACAUAGGAUUGUUCUUAUGCAUAAAACCCAUCAAAUACCACUUCAUAAGACAUCAGGUAGAAGAAAGGUACCUCGUAGUAAAGGGGAUAUCGUUAGAGGACAACCUAUCAGAUCCUCUUACAAAAGGACUGACUAGGGUUAAGAACUUGCAACAUGCGAGGAGCAUUGGGCUAAAGGACGAUAUUAGUUUUAGUAAUUAGAUAAAUCGAAACUUGUAAUAGCUAAAUUGUAAUUGGCAUUUGAUGAUGAAUAAAAGAGUUUUAUUUAUAAGUAAAGUUACUGUCUUGUGUCAAUUAUUUACUAUUGUUUCACUUUGCAUGUUUUAACUUCUAGAAUAAUAAAAUUAUGAUUAUUAUUAUUAUUCAAACUAUCCACAGUCGAUCAUACGUUGGAAGUAAGUAUGAAAUAAGACUGUCAUGAGUUGGCUUGUAAGAUUGUCUAAGGAGUUAGGCAUAGCAACAGGCUUGCUACACCAUUCAUGAGUGCUCCUGAAAUAAGAUUUGAGUAUUGGAUUCAACCCGCGCUCACCUGAAUUACUUCAUGGAAUUUAUCAUGAGUAAUUGUGAGAUGAUAAUAUCAUAUAAUCUUCAAACCAAGAUAUAUGAGUUGUUGACUACAAGUUGGUGGGGCAUUAAUGGCAUGAAAAACGCAUUAGUAACUUGAUGUUAUAAAACGUAUCGUUGUGCAUGAUUUCAUGAGUAGUCAGUACAAGCAUAUAAUCUCGAAGUUUAUCCGUUCCUUUUAUCCUAAGAGGAUUAAAAGUGAUAUCUUGGGCCCCUCGAUGAUUCUGUUUUGACUUAUGUAUCGGGCCCGGUCAGAACUAAAUUGAUAUGUUCAGUUAUCUUCUAUUUCAUACGAAUCAGAAACCGGGAAAAAAUUGUAGGACAAUAAGUAUGACUAUGUUCCAUGUGUUUGUCUGCAUAGAUAUCUUGAGAAAAGAGGAGUAUAUGAUCACUUAUCUGAACGACGUGUCACUGACUAGGUCAGAGUUCGAUAACGACUUUUGAAAGCUUAUGAUUGCUAAGUCAGAUCCUGAAGUGCAUAAGCAGUAAUAGUUAUUAAACUUAUCCAAGUGGGAGACUAUUGGAUUUGGUGUCUAAGCCCUAACUAUAAUUGGUAUGUACUUGACCCGAUUGUAGCAUGGUCCUUUUGGGUUGCCUUCACCAGUGCAAUUUGAUAGGAUGAAUUUUGAGAAUAAGGUUAUUUAUGGUUUAUUAAUAUAUUACAAGUAUAAUAUAUUAAUACAAAUUUAUUUAAUUAGUAUUGAUCAAGAAUUAAUUUAUUAAUUUUGUGAUCAAAAGAGACUAAUUAAAUAUAUGAGGAGUGAUUAUGUAAAUCAAUCAUUCUUGUAGUGUGGGCUAAUGAUCCAUGAUUAUGGGCUAAACUAAUCCAUGGAGGUUAAACCCAUGGAACAUGAGAAUGUGGAAAGUCAUGAGCUAUUAGGGUUCACCAAGUGUAACCCUAGCAUGUCCAACACUAUAAAUAGAACCCUCCAUAAACCAAAAUCGGUUGCCUCUUCUCUUUGAGAUAAAUAUAUUAUUCUCUUAAAUCAUCCUCUUGCAUAUUGGUGUUUGUGAACCAUUUGAGGCAUCACACUUGAGGUGCUCAAGCUUUCAAUGGUCAAGAACUACAAGUCCUUCAAAAGGUAUGACAUCUAUCUAGAUGUUUUAUUCAAUUGCCCAUGACACUUGGUUAUAAGACCAUGUGGGGGAGUCCAUGGCAUUCUAGGUAAAGACCAUGGGGGGAGCCCAUGACACUCGGAUGUCAGACCAUGUGGGGAGCCCAUGGAUUUCAAGCUAAAGACCAUGGGGAGCCCAUGACACUUAGGUUUAAGACCAUGUGGGGGAGCCCAUGACAUCCUGGAGUAAGACCCUGGGGGGAGCCCACGACAUCCUUCUAUGUUUAUACGCAUGACUUAUGUGAUUGAUAUGGUUUAUGUAGGUGUUAUAGCUGAUAUGGAUUAUGUGGUUAUGUGGAUUGUGUAGGGUAUGUUCCGAGGAACUCACUAAGCUUCGUGCUUAUAGUUUUGUUUAUGGUUUCUGGUAUCAUCGGUUUGGAAAGGAAGGGCCGGCUUGAUCGCGGCGCACACACCCGUAUUUUCGCAAUAUAUGAUUUUGGGAACAACUCUGAUGAAUGUUUUAAUUAAUCAUGUUUUUGGAAUGUUUGGAUUUAAAGAUAUAAGUGUUUUGACUGUAUUGAAAAAAUGAAAUUUUUACCCUUAAUUUUUGAUUCGUUACAUAAAAAAUUAAUUUUUUUUUCUUAAAUAGAUAUAUGAUCGGUUUUAAUAUUUUUAUACAUACUUGAAGAUAAUAGAGUUUUUUUGUUUUUGUUUUAUUUUUAAUUUUGAUUUUUUAAAUUAAAUAUUGGUUUGAUUUUUUAAUGUUUAACAAUUAUAAAAUUUUAAAUAAGAAGAAUAUGAAGGAUUAUAAUAUUUUUCCAUUUAUACUUUUUUAAUCAUAUUAUUUUUGGAUUAUAAAUUUUGAAUCAUAGUAUUUUGAAUGAUAACGAUAUUAUGCAUCAUAUAUUUUUGGAUCAUUUUAAUUUGGAUCAUAAUAAAUUGAAUUAAAUAAAUUUUUUGUUCAAUACAACAUUUGGAUCAUUAUAAUUUUUGAAUAAUUUAAUUUUGAAUUAAAAAAUAUAAAAUUAAGGAUCAUUAAAUAUUUGAAUCAAGAUAAUAACAAGUUAAGGAUCGUAAAGAUAUUGAAUCAUAAAUAUUUUGUAUCAUCUCUAUUUGGAUCAUAUUAUGUUUAACAUUUUUUUAAAAAACUUUUAAUCUUUUAAAAUCAAGUUUAGUAUCUAAAACACCUUAUUUUUUAAAAAUUCUUUUUACAAAAUCAUUAGAAUAGUGAGUAGAAGUAUUCCUUAAAUUUUUAUAAUUUUUGGAGAAUUGUUUAUGGGUUUUUUUUAAUAAAUAUUAAAAAUAAAUAUUUUUUUUCAAAUUGUCAUGAUUAUGCUCAUUUUAUAAAGAAUUAAAUUUUAAGAACUUUUGUUUUUUUAGAUUUUUUUUUCAAAGAAAAAAAAUUAUGGCCGAAAAUCUAAACGAGUGGAAAAAAAAACCUACCAGCCAAUAAGGGUUGGACACUUGUUAUGUAGGGGGGGUGGGGGCACGUGUCAGCUCCUGGAGUGGCCACAUGGCCGAAUUUUCAUUUUCUUUUUUCUUUUAUUUUUUUUUUUGUUUUUGUCACUUGUACCCUUCAAACAAUUAACAUUUCCUGAAAAUUAUCAAAAUCUCGCAAUUAAUUACGAAAAUCUCAUAUUAUCUCGCAAGAUUUUGACAAUAAAAAAAAAAUCUUGACCAUUUUUUUUUUAAAUCUUAAGAUCAAAAAUAGUCUUCGUGGUUCCUUUCAUUUUUUGAGUUUCUUCUUGGUNNNNNNNNNNNNNNNNNNNNNNNNNNNNNNNNNNNNNNNNNNNNNNNNNNNNNNNNNNNNNNNNNNNNNNNNNNNNNNNUAUAGGGGCGGAACAUGGACACUAAAAUUAGGGGGGCCGAUAUCAAAUUUUCAAAGCCGAACUAUAUAAUCAUGUUGAAUUUGUUUCAAAACGGUAAUUUAAUUUCUUGUCUACGUAUUUUAAUAGCUAGUUAAAUAAAAAUAUAUAUUCAUAUAUUAUAAAUAAAUCUUAAUCUUAAUAAAGAUAUAGAAACAAGUUAAAUUAACUAGAAAACUAAUCUUAAAAAACUAAUAAAAUAAUUACUCAUAAAAGUUAUUAUAAAUAUGCCCACUAAAAAAACUAAAGAAAAUAAGAAAAUAGAUUAUAUCUAGCACGUUUCCAGCUUUGUUUUUACUUUUCUGCAGUAUUAAGAAAAAGCAGAGGUAAUAAAUUCAAAGUACCUAGCUACUUUCUUGCUGUAUCACAUUAUCUUAGAUUAAAUAAAACUUCUUUUACAUAAGAAUGACAGUAAAAAAUGGUGGAAGAGCAAGGGCGAGAGAAAGUGAGAGAGUGAGAGCCUCAAACCUUUGAGAGAAAGUGUGAGAGUGUGAGAGCCUGAAACCUUUGAGACAGGUAGACAUCCAGACGACAACCGGCGAGACAUCGAGAUGCACGAAGGCGCAAAGAGCGGCGGCUACCGGCGGACUCGUGACCUGUCAUCAUGUCAUCAGAUGUGAUUUGUGACCGACGACGAAGAGAUGGAGUUAGCCUCCGAUGGUUAGGGUUUUAUAGAUGACCUUUUUAGAUUUAUUUUUGAACACUUAAGGGUUUUAUAAAAGCUCUUAUAGUUUGAUAGUUUUCAAGAUUUGCGGGUUUUUGUUAAAGUAGGGUUUCAAACUAUUUAUAUUGUCAUAAGAUCAGAUUUUAAGUAUGAUUUGUUAUAUAUUUGGCUUUAAUUUUCUAGUAUAAAUAGUUGUUCAUGCGUUUUUCCUCUAAACAUUUUAUGCACCCUGAUUUUCCUCCUCUUUUUCUGUAAAGAUUUUUUUUUUUUUUUUUAUAUAGCAAAAUGGGAUAUGUAUAUAUGUUCACAGUAUCAAUUAGGCUAAAAAGCUGGGGGGCC
rnacentral:lncRNA from 1 species